UUGAACGCUGGCGGCAGGCCUAACCCAUGCAAGUCGAGCGGAUGAAGGGAGCUUGCUCCUGGAUUCAGCGGCGGACGGGUGAGUAAUGCCUAGGAAUCUGCCUGGUAGUGGGGGAUAACGUCCGGAAACGGGCGCUAAUACCGCAUACGUCCUGAGGGAGAAAGUGGGGGAUCUUCGGACCUCACGCUAUCAGAUGAGCCUAGGUCGGAUUAGCUAGUUGGUGGGGUAAAGGCCUACCAAGGCGACGAUCCGUAACUGGUCUGAGAGGAUGAUCAGUCACACUGGAACUGAGACACGGUCCAGACUCCUACGGGAGGCAGCAGUGGGGAAUAUUGGACAAUGGGCGAAAGCCUGAUCCAGCCAUGCCGCGUGUGUGAAGAAGGUCUUCGGAUUGUAAAGCACUUUAAGUUGGGAGGAAGGGCAGUAAGUUAAUACCUUGCUGUCUUGACGUUACCAACAGAAUAAGCACCGGCUAACUUCGUG
rnacentral:rRNA from 1 species